UGGGAUUAGAUACCCCACUAUGCCUAGCCCUAAACUUAGAUAGCAAAAUACUACCUAUCCGCCAGAGAACUACAAGCAAAAUACUUAAAACUCAAAGGACUUGGCGGCAUUCCAUAUCAACCUAGAGGAGCCCGUCCAAUAAUCGAUACUACACGCUUAACCCAACCAUUUUUGGCCACUCCAGCCUAUAUACCGCCGUCGUCAGCUAACCUUGUGAAAGAAAAAGAGUAAGCAUAAUAGUCCUCACUAAAACGUCAGGUCAAGGUGUAGCUAAUAAAAUGGGUGUGAUAGGCUACAUUUUCUACCAUAGAAAAAACGGAAAAUACAAUGAAACCUUGUAAUAGAAGGUGAAUUUAGAAGUAAAAUAAGAAAGAAUUCUUAUUUUAACACCGCCCUGGAAUGCGCACACACCGCCCGUCACCCUCCUCAAACAACUUAGAUGAGGCAAG
rnacentral:rRNA from 1 species